rnacentral:rRNA from 1 species
GUCUACAGCCAUGCCACCCUGAACACUCCCGAUUUCGUCUGAUCUCGGAAGCUAAGCAGGGUUGGGCCCAGUUAGUACCUGGAUGGAAGACCACCAAGGAAGACCGGGGCUUGUAGGCG